rfam:Schistosoma curassoni strain Dakar, Senegal genome assembly, scaffold: SCTD_contig0003710
AUCCAGUUGAUGAGACCCAAAUAGGACGAAACGCGCGUCUUAGAU